rnacentral:rRNA from 1 species
AGACUUUGAUCCUGGCUCAGAUUGAACGCUGGCGGCAUGCCUUACACAUGCAAGUCGAACGGCAGCACGGGGGCAACCCUGGUGGCGAGUGGCGAACGGGUGAGUAAUGCAUCGGAACGUACCCAGUAGUGGGGGAUAGCCCGGCGAAAGCCGGAUUAAUACCGCAUACGACCUGAGGGUGAAAGCGGGGGCUCGCAAGACCUCGCGCUAUUGGAGCGGCCGAUGUCAGAUUAGGUAGUUGGUGGGGUAAAGGCCUACCAAGCCUGCGAUCUGUAGCUGGUCUGAGAGGACGACCAGCCACACUGGGACUGAGACACGGCCCAGACUCCUACGGGAGGCAGCAGUGGGGAAUUUUGGACAAUGGGCGCAAGCCUGAUCCAGCCAUGCCGCGUGCGGGAAGAAGGCCUUCGGGUUGUAAACCGCUUUUGUCAGGGAAGAAAAGUUCCGGGUUAAUACCCUGGGAUGCUGACGGUACCUGAAGAAUAAGCACCGGCUAACUACGUGCCAGCAGCCGCGGUAAUACGUAGGGUGCGAGCGUUAAUCGG